GGAAAAGAAAGGUAAUGUUUGUACGCUAUAAUUACUUUGAGAGUGCUUACCAAAAUCCAGGGUUUCUAAGCUGCUUUACAGAAUACACUCGCAGUCGCAGUCACACACCUUCACACACACACACACACACACACACAUACAAUACACUGCAUGUUUGUAUGCUAGUUAAGCAUUCUGGAGCUGAAGGAGCUGUCAGCAAGAGGAGCGAUUUCCGAGACCAAGUCAAGACCAAGAUGGGGUUCAAGAGAAGAGAGCAUGACAACAGGGUAUGCGCUGGCGAUGUCAUUACAUCACACUAACGACGCGAUGAGAGAAGAAAGGAGAGAAAAGGUCAGCCAGGUGGAUUCCAAGGGUCAGCCGUAACGGAGCGAAGAGAAGGGAAGGGUCAGAGAUGACAGGCGGAUGAGGUUUCACUCAGGGCCUUUGUCGAUGUUUCCCACGGAGACAGCAAAACAAAGAGGAUGAAUAAUGAUCUGAUGCGUGAUGGGAUGAGCAUGAACGCAGCAUGCACACUCGAGCCCAGAACA